rnacentral:lncRNA from 1 species
GCACAUGAACCGCUGUCCCCACAGCAGCUACAGCAGGACAUGUACAACAAGAAGAUCCCCUCUUUGUUUGAGAUUGUGGUGCGACCCACAGGGCAGCUAGCUGAGAAACUGGGCGUGAGGUUCCCUGGACCUGGUGGACCCUCAGGGCCAAUGGGUCCUGGCCCCAACAUGGGACCCCCAGGGCCAAUGGGGGGGCCCAUGCAUCCUGACAUGCACCCAGACAUGCACCCUGAUAUGCACCCCGACAUGCACCCCGACAUGCACCCCGAUAUGCACCCCGACAUGCACCCUGACAUGCAUCCUGACAUGCCAAUGGGUCCUGGCAUGAACCCUGGCCCUCCCAUGGGUCCUGGUGGCCCCCCAAUGAUGCCCUAUGGUCCUGGAGACUCCCCACACUCUGGAAU